rnacentral:rRNA from 1 species
AGAAUCAACGCUGGCGGCGUGCCUAACACAUGCAAGUCGAACGCGAAAGCCCCGAAAGGGGCAAGUAGAGUGGCAAACGGGUGAGUAACACGUGGGUGACCUGCCUUCGAGCGGGGGAUAACGUCCCGAAAGGGACGCUAAUACCGCAUAACAUCCUGCCUUUGAAGAGGUGGAGAUCAAAGCUGGGGAUCGCAAGACCCGGCACUUGAAGAGGGGCCCGCGUCUGAUUAGCUAGUUGGUGGGGUAACGGCCUACCAAGGCAACGAUCAGUA